GACGAACGCUGGCGGCGUGCUUAACACAUGCAAGUCGAACGGAAAGGCCCUGCUUUUGUGCGUUUCUCGAUUGGCGAACGGGUGAGUAACACGUGAGUAACCUGCCCUUGUCUUUCUGGUAACCUCACGAAACUGGGGCUAAUACCGGAUAUGAGCUCCUGCUGCAUGUGGGUGUAUGGAAAAUUUCGGCGGUGGUGUAUGGACUCGCUGCUUAUGAGCUGUUUGGGGGGGUAGUUGCUUACCAGGGUUUUGACGGCUAGCCUGCCUGAGAGGGUUAACGGGGACCUUGGGCCUGCGAUACGGACCAGAAUGCUACGGGCGGCAGCAGUGGGGAAUAUUGCGCAAUGGGGGGACGUCUGAUGCAGCAACGCCGGGUGCGGGAUGACGGCUUUCGGGUUGUAAACAGAUUUCGAAUGUGACGAAGAGUGAGUGACGGUAAUGGGUAAAGAAGCAACGGCUAACUACGUG
rnacentral:rRNA from 1 species